UACGUAGGGUGCGAGCGUUGUCCGGAAUUAUUGGGCGUAAAGAGCUCGUAGGCGGCCAUCUAAGUCAGACGUGAAAUCCCUCGGCUUAACCGGGGAACUGCGUCUGAUACUGGAUGGCUUGAGUUCGGGAGAGGGAUGCGGAAUUCCAGGUGUAGCGGUGAAAUGCGUAGAUAUCUGGAGGAACACCGGUGGCGAAGGCGGCAUCCUGGACCGACACUGACACUGAGGAGCGAAAGCCAGGGGAGCAAACGGG
rnacentral:rRNA from 1 species